AGCAGUAGCCACGGGAAUACGUAGGUGGCAAGCGUUGUCCGGAAUUAUUGGGCGUAAAGCGCGCGCAGGCGGUCCCUUAAGUCUGAUGUGAAAGCCCAUCGCUCAACCGGGGAGGGUCAUUGGAAACUGGGAAACUUGAGUGCAGAAGAGGAGAGUGGAAUUCCACGUGUAGCGGUGAAAUGCGUAGAGAUGUGGAGGAACACCAGUGGCGAAGGCGACUCUCUGGUCUGUAACUGACGCUGAGGAGCGAAAGCGUGGGGAGCGAACAGGAUUAGAUACCCCGGUAGUCCCUGUCUCUUAUAC
rnacentral:rRNA from 1 species